rnacentral:snRNA from 1 species
GUAAUCACUUUGGCAGCACUUAACACUAAAAUUGAAACAGUCAGAUAAGAUUUGCUGACCCUUCCACAAAAAUAACUUGCAAAUUUGUGAAAUGUUUCAGAUUUUU